GGGUUAUUGUGAUCACUGGCUGUAGGUCAUCACUGAAGGAAGUCAAGACAGAAAUUCACACAGGGCAGGAGCCUGAAGGCAGGAGCUGAUGCUGAGGCCACAGAGGGGUGCUUCUUACUGGCUUGUUCCCUAUGGCUCGUUGGGACUGCUUUCUUAUAGGCUGAAGCAUCAAGUCUUGAGUUCUAGGCCAGCACCUGCCGUAAGAACCAGCCAAUGGCAGAUGAGAGUGAUUACAGGUCAAAGCCCUUUCCAUUCGACUCUGAUGGCUUCACUUCAGCUCCUGGAACUUUCACCCACUCCAUCCGUGUACAUGGCAAAGGUGAGAGAAUACUUUUCAGGACUUCCUCAUCAAAUCCAGGCUUUGCCACACACAUCUUUGCCUGCUGAGCCCUCUCGUCGGCCCCGAAGCUGGUGUUCAGAUGUGCGUGAUUGCCAUUGGAACCUAGCGUCAUUUGGGGCAGAGCUGCAGUUCAAGUAAGAAGUGGGGGCAGUCUCAGGCUGGGUUAGACCUGGAUUUGAUCCCCAGCCACAGGGAAAUGUCCAAACUGGGGUGUCAUGAUCCAAAGCUGCAGGGGCCUGUACCUAAGAUGAAGGCACAUGGCUUUCCGGUUGUCCCGAGCCCAGUGGUCCCACAUUCUUGGAUGUGCUUCUUGGGCAGGGGACCAGGUGGCUCAGGUAUCCUGAGGAUCAUGCUGCCGCCUUGUGUCCCUGAACGGGAGACUGAAACAGAGCCCAGGUCAGGGAGUCGUUAAGUCUCUCAAAGUUGUCAUAUGGGAGAGGAGUAUGUGGCUCUUGCUUAGCACUGGGGCAGCCUGGCUUCAUCACCAGCACACACAGGCUGAAUAAAUAAAUGGCCUGUCAUAUGAAUGUAUGGACCAGAGUGGCUUUCUGACCUCCAAAGCAACUCCUAGCCCUGUUCCUUGGUGCCUUUGUUUGUAAAAUGAGGCUCAAUAUUAAAUGUCAUCUCAC
rnacentral:lncRNA from 1 species